AGAUUGAACGCUGGCGGCAUGCCUUACACAUGCAAGUCGAACGGCAGCACGGGAGCAAUCCUGGUGGCGAGUGGCGAACGGGUGAGUAAUACAUCGGAACGUGCCCAGUAAUGGGGGAUAGCCCGGCGAAAGCCGGAUUAAUACCGCAUACGACCUAUGGGUGAAAGCGGGGGAUCGCAAGACCUCGCGUUAUUGGAGCGGCCGAUGUCAGAUUAGCUUGUUGGUGGGUAAAAGCCACCAAGGCGACGAUCGUGUAGCUGGUCUGAGAGGACGACCAGCCACACGUGGACUGAGACCACGGCCCAGACUCCGUACGGGAGGCAGCGAGUGGGAAUUUGGACUAAUGGGCGACAGCCUGACUCGAGCCAU
rnacentral:rRNA from 1 species